GGUAUCGCAUUGUGCAUAAUGGUCAAGUCCCACUACAUCUGCGCGGGCCGCCUGGUGCGCAUCCUGCGUGGCCCCCGCCAGGACCGCGUUGGUGUGAUCGUCGACAUUGUCGACGCGAACCGCGUGCUGGUGGAGAACCCGGAGGACGCGAAGAUGUGGCGCCACGUGCAGAACCUGAAGAACGUGGAGCCGCUGAAGUACUGCGUGAGCGUCAGCCGCAACUGCAGCGCGAAGGCGCUGAAGGAUGCGCUGGCCUCGUCGAAGGCGCUGGAGAAGUACGCGAAGACGCGCACUGCUGCGCGCGUGGAGGCGAAGAAGGCGUGCGCCGCGUCGACGGACUUCGAGCGCUACCAGCUGCGCGUUGCGCGCCGUUCUCGCGCGCACUGGGCGCGCAAGGUGUUCGACGAGAAGGACGCGAAGACGCCCGUGUCGUGGCACAAGGUUGCGCUGAAGAAGAUGCAGAAGAAGGCCGCAAAGAUGGACUCGACCGAGGGCGCUAAGAGGCGCAUGCAGAAGGCGAUCGCUGCCCGCAAGGCGAAAAAGUAAGGCCACACCCUCACUUCGCUUGUUUCGUGAUUUUUCGUGGGAGUCGGUGGCCCUACCACCGGUCUUUCAUUGGCUUAUUUCUAUCCGGUCUGAAAGAGGUACAAAGGCGAACGCAUUGUAGUGAGUAAUGGUGUCGCAAAGGGUGAUAUGAGUGGGGCCUAUGUACAUCCCUCAGAGGCCACGAGGGCGGGCGUAUGUGGAAGUUGUUUGCGGCAUCUGUGAGUGCUCGCGUGUGCCGCGGUGCGUCGGUGGCACUUGUUCGAUUCCCCAGGCACGCACGCGGGAGCUGUCGAUGUGGAGCGAUGAAACGCCUACGAGAAUCGUCGUGUGUCUCCGCCUUGACUUUUGCCUGUGGAGUCUUCGUGCGCACGUUGCAGUUGUGACCGGAUGAUGCAAACCGCAGCAAGUUUGACAGUCAUUUGUGGGUGGCUUCUUCAAGGACCCUCUCGCUUUCUCUCUUCCUCGCUUAUCUUCUUUCGCAUUGCACAG
rnacentral:misc_RNA from 1 species